rnacentral:rRNA from 1 species
UCUGGUUGAUCCUGCCAGUAGUCAUAUGCUUGUCUCAAAGAUUAAGCCAUGCAUGUCUAAGUAUAAAUAGUAUACAGUGAAACUGCGAAUGGCUCAUUAAAACAGUUAUAGUUUAUUUGAUAAUUGACAAUUACAUGGAUAACCGUGGUAAUUCUAGAGCUAAUACACGCUUAAACGCCCGACUUUAUGGAAGGGUGGUAUUUAUUAGACUGAAGCCAAUAUUCCUUGUGUCUAUUGCGGUGAUUCAUAAUAACUGAUCGAAUCUCUUUUUGAGAUAAAUCAUUCAAGUUUCUGCCCUAUCAGCUUUCGAUGGUAGUGUAUUGGACUACCAUGGCAGUAACGGGUAACGAAGAAUUAGGGUUCGAUUUCGGAGAGGGAGCAUGAGAAACGGCUACCACAUCUAAGGAAGGCAGCAGGCGCGUAAAUUACCCAAUCCUGACUCAGGGAGGUAGUGACAAGAAAUAGCAAACCGGGAACCUCAUGGUUUCACGGUAUUGCAAUGAGAACAAUUUAAAACCCUUAGCGAGAAUCAAGUGGAGGACAAGUCUGGUGCCAGCACCCGCGGUAAUUCCAGCUCCACUAGCGUAUAUUAAAGUUGUUGCAGUUAAAAAGCUCGUAGUUGAACCUCUGUCUGGGGCUAGUUUUGGCUUUGGUCAGGCUAGUUCUAGGCAUCCGCCUACAAGACUUAGAGGGCAUUCAGUUGUUCACUAGGAGGAGUAGGCAUUUUACUUUGAAAAAAUUAGAGUGUUUAAGGCAGGCAAUUGCCCGCAUAUAUUAGCAUGGAAUAAUAGAAUAGGACACUUUUCCGUUUCGUUGGUUAUUGGAAUCGUGUAAUGAUUAAUAGGGACAGUUGUGGGCAUUUGUAUUUAAUUGUCAGAGGUGAAAUUCUUGGAUUUAUUAAAGACAAACUAAUGCGAAAGCAUUUGCCAAGGAUGUUUUCAUUAAUCAAGAACGAAAGUUAGGGGAUCAAAGACGAUCAGAUACCGUCCUAGUCUUAACUAUAAACUAUUCCGACUCAAUGUUUGACUGGCUUAUAUAACCAGUUGAGCGUUGUAUGAGAAAUCAAAGUCUUUAGGUUCUGGGGGGAGUAUGGUUGCGAAGCUGAAACUUAAAGGAAUUGACGGAAGAGCACAACCAGGAGUGGAUUCUGCGGCUUAAUUUGACUCAACACGGGGAAACUUACCAGGUUAAAACAAUAGUGGGAUUGACAGUUUGAGAGCGCUUUCUUGAUUGGUUGGGUGGUGGUGCAUGGCCGUUCUUAGUUGGUGGAGUGAUUUGUCUGCUUAAUUGCGUUAACGAACGAGACCUUAACCUG